CGCUUCUAGUAGGCCAAACUCCCAGGUGACCCCCGCAAGAAACGCGGUCCGGAGAGGGUCUGGCCCCACUGCUGGGGCAAGGGCUCUAGGCGCCCGGACCCCACGCCCGCAGCCUGCGGAGAACGUGCCGACAAGGACCUGUAGGGCCCCACUCCCCCUCCUCCCUCCCUCGGCGCAGCCCGGCCCAGGGGUCUGUCCUCCCAGGCCCAGGAAAGGAGGAAACCCACUUCCGCCGCGUCCAUGAUCUCCCGCGGCUUCUCCUGACUCUUGCGGCUGGCGCUGGCGCUGGGCAUCGGGACACGGAACUGGGCAGUGGACACCACCCUCCCUCGCAGGCUUCCAAAGUAAUUUGAAGGCCUUCCCUGACUUAAAGUGGAUGCUGCUUUGGAAAGCACUGGAAAAAUGGAUCCUGUCUUUCUUAGCCAAGGACUGGUCUCUUUUCUCCAAUGUGUCCCUAACAGAGUGGUGAGGCUGGCUCUUCCCACCAGUACAGGUGCUAAAAGGAUAAUACCAAGGAAAACUAUGGGUGGGGGCAGUGAAUGGCCAGCAUGCCUAUAAUCCCAGCACUUGAAGCCAGGAGUUCGAGACCAGCCUGGGAAACAAAGCAAGACCCUGUGUCUAAAAAAAUUUUUUUAAAAAUAAGCUGGGCAUGGUGGCACGUGCCUAUAGUCCCAGCUACUCAGCUACUCGGGAGACCAAGCUCUGUUUCUGGCAGGAAUCUGACACCACUUACUCCUUGGGUAGAAACUCCCCCAAGUCUGAACUAUGUGAU
rnacentral:lncRNA from 10 species